GACAUGCCAUUUACGAUCAAUCUCGACGUCGAUUCGUUCGUGAAACCCAGACCAAAGAGACUAGCAUAUCAUCUAGUUAAAAGGAACGUGCACGGUCGAUGGAAUGAAAACGGUGCGAUUUAACCGCGGUCUGUCGUUUAAGCCUACCACGGAACUGUGUCGAAUAGCUUCACUUACAUACUCGAGCAGAGAAUCGACCAUUCCCCGACAAGCUAUCCAAAAUUGCUACCUGCUAGGCUGGAAACAAGACGAAGGACGUGUGGGCAAAUAUUCAAACCUGAUUGAUCGAUGUCUGAAAUUAAAAGUGAACGUUGCACGCCACUUCAAAGAGAAGUUUAUCACGCCCUUCCACCAUUGGCGUAACAGGGCUUUCUAUAUAGAACUGGCUGAAUAUUCGCGUCAGCAAGCCGUCGGGGGACAGGAAAUUUGUCCUUAAUCGUCCAAUUACUGGGGCAGUUAUCCGACAAGGCUACGCGAAAGAAAUCGCGCUUGUUCUUUUAUGGGACACCUGUGAGCGCGUACGACGCUCUUCGCGAAAGACCUUAGGUGCAAAGGAGUAUUCAAUCGCGUCUUGGAAUUAAACUUCGGCUUAUCUGAGCGCGCAGUAGUCGAGAGAUCGUUAACGAAAACUGGCGACUGGUCGUAGCUCUCCAGUGGAUAUGGUAAAAAUAACGCUGAAAUAAAAUGGAAUCCUCCAUUACAGACCCUCGAGGUUCAUGCGGGGGUUAUCUAAGUUCCCCCCCACUGUUAUCUUAAUGACUCGCGGAAGCGCACGCGUGCUUCCCUAUCGCUGCCGCCUGAUUUCAAGAAAAGGAAGUCGGGUUGGCUGGGUGAACGGAGAGAGAGGAGCCGUGAAUGAGGCGGCCAAAGGCGGGAACGAGAAGGAAAGAGGAGCGGAGUACGGCACGUCCGAUAUCCGUGCACAUAUUGCCACAGCGCGCGCCUUAUCCCGAUCAGUAAUUAGUCCGAUCGUUUGCCAAAGACCGAAAGGGAAGGCUCGUUGAUUGCUAUUAACGGCGUCGCUGAUUGGGCGAAACCGAUUGAAUUGCUGCCGGCCUGCCCUCCAACCGACGGAAACUUGGAGUGUUUCGCCUUCUACUCGAAACCAUUCUUUUCCAUCGUUGGCUCGCAAAGAAACUUCGACGAUUGAUACAGUCCAAAAGUUCUCGAGUUUUUGCAGAAAUGCAGGACAUGAACUCGAUUACGGUUCUGUUCGCUAGUGGUACCAAAGAGCGAGUUCAGGGAAGUGAAAACAUCCCUACAAAGAAACAUCGAUUUUUCAGAGUUUGAUAUCUCUGAAGUCGCAAGGGAUGUCGAAGAAAUAUCAGUUGAUAGGAGUGUAGUAAUUGUACUUCUCUUGUCAGAGGCAUUCCUAGAGGACUUUCUUUUCUUGAGUGCUAUUUCAAGUCACUUCCUUCUGAUCAAAAUUAUUUCAAAAUUUCAAAUCAUCCAUUUCAAAUCAAUUUCAAAUUUAAA